GUGAGGAAUAUUGCGCAAUGGAGGCAACUCUGACGCAGCCAUGCCGCGUGCAGGAAGAAGGCGCUACGCGUUGUAAACUGCUUUUAACCGGGAAGAAACCCCAGGACGUGUCCUGGGUUGACGGUACCGGAGGAAUAAGCACCGGCUAACUUCGUGCCAGCAGCCGCGGUAAUACGAAGGGUGCAAGCUUUAUCCGGAUUCAUUGGGUUUAAAGGGUGCGUAGGCGGAGCGUUAAGUCAGUUGUGAAAUCCUGCAGCUUAACUGUAGACUUGCAAUUGAUACUGGCGCUCUUGAGUGCGCUUGAAGUGGGCGGAAUGUGCCGUGUAGCGGUGAAAUGCUUAGAUAUGGCACAGAACACCAAUUGCGAAGGCAGCUCACUAAGGCGAUACUGACGCUGAGGCACGAAAGCGUGGGGAUCGAACAGGAUUAGAAACCCCAGUAGUCC
rnacentral:rRNA from 1 species